rnacentral:rRNA from 1 species
AUGAAGAGGCAUGGUGGUGGGAGCCAUACGGCCUGCAGCCUCCUCUUGCUCGUCGCCGUCUUCCUGGUCAUCUCCUUCCAGUGCUUACUGAGACACUCCAGUCUCGGAGGCCAGACCCUCCGCGGCACCACGACAGCUGGGCCGGCUGAGGGUGUACUAGGACAUGACGCUGACGCCACGCUCAUGGAGCUCGCGGCCGUCGACCCGGCGGCGACGGCCGUGCUGCAGGCGGCCAAGAAGCUGCUCGAGGGCAACAUGUCGAGAGCUCCGGAGGAGCACCGCGACGUCGCGGUACGCGGGCUGCGGGACUGGCUACGAAGGCAGCGGUUCGACCCCGGCGUCAUGUCCGAGCUCGUGGACCUCAUCAAGAGCCCCAUCGACCGGCACAGCGGGCGGGACGCCGAUGGCGGGAAGUACGCGUCGUGCGCUGUGGUCGGCAACAGCGGCAUCCUUCUGACGUCAGAGCGCGGCGACAACAUCGACGGCCACGAGCUCGUGAUCCGGAUCAACAACGCGCCGGCGGGCAACGCAGGGAACGCGCGCUACGUUGGCGCCAGGACCGGGCUGGCGUUCCUCAACAGCAACGUAAUGAGCCGGUGGUGCGCCGGGGGCAGCAGAGCCUGCUACUGCCGCGCCUACGGGGACGCCGUGCCCAUCCUGACGUACAUGUGCAGCGGCGCGCACUUCGUGGAGCACGCCGCGUGCAACGCGUCUUCCUCCGGCGCCGCGCCGGUGAUCGUGACGGACCCGCGGCUGGACGCGCUGUGCGCGCGUCUCGUCAAGUACUACUCGCUGCGGCGAUUCGUGCGGGAGACGGGGCGGCCGGCCGACGAAUGGGGGCGGGCGCACGGGGAGGGCAUGUUUCACUACUCGUCGGGGAUGCAGGCGGUGGUGGCCGCGGCCGGCGUGUGCGAGCGGGUGUCGGUGUUCGGGUUCGGCAAGGACGCAGCGGCCCGGCACCACUACCACACGCUGCAGAAGCGGGAGCUGGAACUGCACGACUAUGAGGCGGAGUACGAGUUCUACCGGGACCUCGAGGCCCGGCCGGAGGGGGUCCCGUUCUUGCGGGAAUCUGGGUUUAGGUUGCCGCCCGUGGUGUUCUACCGGUGA